GAUGAACGCUGGCGGCGUGCCUAAUACAUGCAAGUCGAGCGAACAGACGAGGAGCUUGCUCCUCUGACGUUAGCGGCGGACGGGUGAGUAACACGUGGAUAACCUACCUAUAAGACUGGGAUAACUUCGGGAAACCGGAGCUAAUACCGGAUAAUAUAUUGAACCGCAUGGUUCAAUAGUGAAAGACGGUUUUGCUGUCACUUAUAGAUGGAUCCGCGCCGCAUUAGCUAGUUGGUAAGGUAACGGCUUACCAAGGCGACGAUGCGUAGCCGACCUGAGAGGGUGAUCGGCCACACUGGAACUGAGACACGGUCCAGACUCCUACGGGAGGCAGCAGUAGGGAAUCUUCCGCAAUGGGCGAAAGCCUGACGGAGCAACACCGCGUGAGUGAUGAAGGUCUUCGGGUCGUAAAACUCUGUUAUUAGGGAAGAACAAAUGUGUAAGUAAAUAUGCACGUCUUGACGGUACCUAAUCAGAAAGCCACGGCUAACUACGUG
rnacentral:rRNA from 1 species